CUGGAGUGCUAAUUUCUAGAAAAGAUGAUACAAAUUCUUUUGGUUUCUCCAGGCAAACAAGUAAAUCAUCUGGGACCACUGGGUGGGUGAAUUUAUCCCAGUAUGACCAAAGACAACGCACUAAACAAGUGACAAGGCAAAAUAUAACAUUAAGAAAGUUGCGGAUAUGUUGUGACAGUCGUGUGUUGGGGGAGGGGGACACACGCAUGGUUGGGAUGGACUUCAUGCUCGUAACCAGCGUAAAUCCGGGCCACCCUGUGGUCUGCCUCAGCGUCUGCAUUCAGAAGAAACGCCAGUCCAACAAUUCAAAACAAUUGAAAAACGAUUCCGAUUUUGCCUGUGGAAUUGACAACAUG